UACGUAGGGGGCUAGCGUUGUCCGGAAUCACUGGGCGUAAAGCGCACGUAGGCGGCUUUCUAAGUCAGGGGUGAAAUCCUGGAGCUCAACUCCAGAACUGCCUUUGAUACUGGAGAGCUUGAGUCCGGAAGAGGUGAGUGGAACUCCCGAGUGUAGAGGUGAAAUUCGUAGAUAUUCGGAAGAACACCAGUGGCGAAGGCGGCUCACUGGUCCGGUACUGACGCUGAUGUGCGAAAGCGUGGGGAGCAACAGG
rnacentral:rRNA from 1 species